GCGGCAUGCUUAGCACAUGCAAGUCGAACGGCAGCAUGUUGUGUAGCAAUACACAAUGAUGGCGAGUGGCGGACGGGUGAGAAACGCGUAGGAAUCUGCCCUAGAGAGGGGGACAACCCGAGGAAACUCGGGCUAAUACCGCAUAAUCUCGAAAGAGAAAAGGCUGGGUAGCAAUACCUGGCGCUUUAGGAGGAGCCUGCGUCCGAUUAGCUAGUUGGUGGGGUGAAGGCCUACCAAGGCGACGAUCGGUAGCCGAACUGAGAGGUUGAUCGCCCACAUUGGGACUGAGACACGGACCAGACUCCUACGGGAGGCAGCAGUGGGGAAUAUUGCGCAAUGGGGGAAACCCUGACGCAGCGACGCCGCGUGAAGGAUGAAGGUCUUCGGAUUGUAAACUUCUUUGAUGAGGGAAGAAUAAUGACGGUACCUCAAAAACAAGCCACGGCUAACUACGUGCCAGCAGCCGCCGUAACAC
rnacentral:rRNA from 1 species